GGACUACUCGGGUAUCUAAUCCUGUUUGCUCCCCACGCUUUCGUGCCUCAGUGUCAGUGUUGGUCCAGGUAGUCGCCUUCGCCACAGAUGUUCCUUCCGAUCUCUACGCAUUUCACUGCUACACCGGAAAUUCCACUACCCUCUACCACACUCUAGUCGCCCAGUUUCCAUCGCAAUUCCCAGGUUGAGCCCAGGGCUUUCACGACAGACUUAAGCAACCACCUACGCACGCUUUACGCCCAGUAAUUCCGAGUAACGCUUGCACCCUUCGUAUUACCGCGGCUGCUGGCAC
rnacentral:rRNA from 1 species